rnacentral:rRNA from 1 species
AACGAACGCUGGCGGCAUGCCUAACACAUGCAAGUCGAACGAGACCUUCGGGUCUAGUUGCGCACGGGGGCGUAACGCGUGGGAACCUGCCCUUGGGUUCGGAAUAACUCCCCGUAAGGUGUGCUAAUACCGGUUAAUGUCUUCGGACCAAAGAUCUGUCGCUUUUGGAUGGGCCCGCGUUGGAUUAGCUAGUUGGUAGGGUAAAAGCCUACUAAGGCGACGAUCCAUAGCUGGUCUGUGAGAAUGAUCAGACUCACUGGGAGAGAGACACGGCCCAGACUCCUGCGGGAGGCAGCAGGGAGGAAUAUUGAACGAUGGGCGAAAGACUGAGCAAGCAAUGCCGCGUGAGGAAUGAGGGCCUUAGGGUUGUAAAGUUCUUUUGCCCGGGAUGAUAAGGAAAGGACCGGGGGAAUAAACUCCGGCUAACUUCGGGC